UUUUCUUGCAGCUUCAAGCCUCAGCAGGUCUCAGAGGACCAAUCAGAGCCCAGCUACAGACCACAUGAUCAACCAGGGUGAAACUCAAGACGGACAUUACGCUUCUGCUCUUCAUGGUGAUUCUUGUCUCUAUGAAACAAUCAGAGGCUCUGAAGAACCUGAACAAGAUGAAUCCAGCCUCACAUAUUCUAUGAUUGAGCUCAAACACUUUAAAAAGAAGGAGAAGCACGAUGAACCAGACGAGAGCCCCGUUUACUCGGAUGUGAGGACGACAUCAGCUGCAGGUACAGUCAACGCCAGCAGAGCUUCCUGCUGUUUAACAGACGUGACGUAUGCCCAGGUUCACCCCCCCACUAAGAAGAAGAGGAAUGAAGGUAAGUAAAGUCCACAUCAGGAAAAUCCAGAUGUGCAGCAGCAGAGGAAGCUGUUUAUUCUGAAGUCAAACCAGGAACAUCUCGAGAUCAAUAAAGACAUCCGUGUGGACAAAACCGACCAACGAGAAAAACAAUCUCUUUAAUAGACGUGUGAGGCUUGUUAAAUUAAUUCUUUUUGGGAACCUUUGUGCUCCGAAUAGCAGAAAGUAUUUUGUACAGUUAAUUAGCAGAUUGUUUCAACUAAAUCUUUAAUCUUGUUUUAUUUUUAAGUGUUUUUUAACCAUUAAGUGUAUGAAACUUAUUAUUCCUUUAAUAUGCUUUCAGCAGCGUCUUUAACAGCUUAUUCUCCAUGUUAAAAUAAUGCAGUGCAAGUGUUUUUAUAAUGUUUUAUGUUAAAGCAUUUUCAUGCUUUUGGGGUCAGAAGAAAAAAAGUUUAAAAAUGUCAGUAUAUCGCUUUAAUGUAAAAACAUAAGCAAAGCUCUCUUUGUGACGUCUCUUUAAGUGUAUUAAUCACUUCAUGGGCUGAACAGCUGAACCCUUAGAAUCAUUUUAGAUAUUAGAACAAUAUCAAACGGCCCUUUCAUACUUACUGAAGUACAGGAAGUGACUUUGUUGCCUUCCACAUUUACUCUGAUUAAAAAAAUUCCCCCAUGUGACCCUCCUGUAAAACCACUGCGACCCACUAGAGGGUCGCGCCCCACAGUUUGAGAAACACUGAUGUGAUCAAUGAACAAUAUUUCUAAACAUCUCCUGCUGCAACAGAAAAAACGGUUUAUUCUGAAGUGCAACUAAGAGCAGCUCUUGUUAUUGAUGCUGCCCCCUAGUGAGCAUGUUGAGAAUGACGUCUUCUUAUCACAAGCAGCCACAUCUGAAAUGACCUUUUAUAUUCAUUUAUAUUUUUGUAUAGUUUUUCUUCGUCAAUGAAAAUAAUUUUAUGUCUUUUAAUAUAUGAUGAACUCUCUGCACGUGUUUUUCAAAGCAAUACAAUCGUGAUGCCAUGUAUGUAAUAAUACAAAUAAAAUAGUGAGAGGUGUUGAA